AGAGUUUGAUCCUGGCUCAGGAUGAACGCUGGCGGCGUGCCUAACACAUGCAAGUCGAGCAGAAAUCGCUCAAUGAUCUUUCGGGUGAUUUGAGCGAUGGAAAGCGGCGGACGGGUGAGUACGCGUAGGUAACCUGCCCCAUACAGAGGGAUAGCCAUUGGAAACGGUGAUUAAUACCUCUAACACCGGAAUAUCGCAUGGUAUACCGGUCAAAGUUUUUCGGUAUGGGAUGGACCUGCGCUGAUUAGCUGGUUGGUGAGGUAACGGCUCACCAAGGCGACGAUCAGUAGCCGACCUGAGGGGUGAUCGGCCACAUUGGAACUGAGACACGGUCCAAACUCCUACGGGAGGCAGCAGUGGGAAUAUUGCACAAUGGGCGCAAGCCUGAUGCAGCAACGCCGCGUGAACGAAGAAGGCUCUGGGUCGUAAAGUUCUGUUCUGAGGGAAGAAGAUCUGACGGUACCUCAGGAGAAAGCCCCGCUAACUACGUGCCAGCAGCCGCGGUAAUACGUAGGGGGCGAGCGUUGUCCGGAAUUACUGGCGUAAAGAGUACGUAGGCGGUUCUGUAAGCGCAUGGUGAAAGGCAACGGCUUAACCGUUUCAGCCGUGCGAACUGCAGGACUUGAGUGCAGGAGAGGAAAGCGGAAUUCCUGGUGUAGCGUGAAAUGCGUAGAUAUCAAGAGGAACACCGGUGGCGAAUGCGGCUUUUCUGGACUGUAAUGACGCUGAGGUACGAAAAGCGUG
rnacentral:rRNA from 1 species